AGAGUUUGAUCCUGGCUCAGGAUGAACGCUGGCGGCAUGCCUAAUACAUGCAAGUCGAACGAGAGACCUUCGGGUCUCUAGUGGCGAACGGGUGAGUAACACGUAGGGAACCUGCCCGCGCACCGGGAAUACGCUCUGGAAACGGAGAACAAAUCCCGAUGUACAGGAAGGAGGCAUCUUCUUUCUGUGAAACAUCCUUUCGGGGAUGGGGCGCGGAUGGACCUGCGGUGCAUUAGUUGGUUGGCGGGGUAAAGGCCCACCAAGACGAUGAUGCAUAGCCGGCCUGAGAGGGCGGACGGCCACAUUGGUACUGAGACACGGACCAAACUCCUACGGGAGGCAGCAGUGAGGAAUAUUGGUCAAUGGACGAAAGUCUGAACCAGCCAUGCCGCGUGCAGGAAGACGGCUCUAUGAGUUGUAAACUGCUUUUGUACAAGGGUAAACCUGAAUACGUGUAUUCAGCUGAAAGUACUGUACGAAUAAGGAUCGGCUAACUCCGUGCCAGCAGCCGCGGUAAUACGGAGGAUCCAAGCGUUAUCCGGAUUUAUUGGGUUUAAAGGGUGCGUAGGCGGAUUGAUAAGUUAGAGGUGAAAUGUCCGGGCUCAACUCGGGAACUGCCUCUAAUACUGUUGAUCUAGAGAGUAGAUGCGGUAGGCGGAAUGUAUGGUGUAGCGGUGAAAUGCUUAGAGAUCAUACAGAACACCGAUUGCGAAGGCAGCUUACCAAUCUAUAUCUGACGUUGAGGCACGAAAGCGUGGGGAGCAAACAGGAUUAGAUACCCUGGUAGUCCACGCAGUAAACGAUGAUAGCUCGUUGUCGGCGAUACACAGUCGGUGACUAAGAGAAAUCGAUAAGCUAUCCACCUGGGGAGUACGUUCGCAAGAAUGAAACUCAAAGGAAUUGACGGGGGCCCGCACAAGCGGAGGAACAUGUGGUUUAAUUCGAUGAUACGCGAGGAACCUUACCCGGGCUUGAAAGUUAGUGACUGAUCUGGAAACAGGUCUUCCCUUCGGGGCACGAAACUAGGUGCUGCAUGGUUGUCGUCGGCUCGUGCCGUGAGGUGUCGGGUUAAGUCCCAUAACGAGCGCAACCCCUACUGAUAGUUGCCAUCAGGUCAAGCUGGGCACUCUAUCGGGACUGCCGGUGUAAGCCGGAGGAGGGUGGGGAUGACGUCAAAUCAGCACGGCCCUUACGUCCGGGGCGACACACGUGUUACAAUGGCAGGUACAGCGGGAAGCCACCGGGCGACCGGGCGCGGAACCCGAAAACCUGUCUUAGUUCGGAUCGGAGUCUGCAACCCGACUCCGUGAAGUUGGAAUCGCUAGUAAUCGCGGAUCAGAAUGCCGCGGUGAAUACGUUCCCGGGUCUUGCACUCACCGCCCGUCAAG
rnacentral:rRNA from 1 species